rnacentral:lncRNA from 1 species
CCCCGCCCCCCACCUGUAGCGCCGCCCACCCGCCGAGCACGGCGCGCACCCCCUCCGCGAACAGCGCGCUCGCCGCCAUGCCGCCCGGAAGUGGGCGGGGCUUCGCGCAACCGGGGCGCGCGUAAAUAUGACGUCACUUCCCGGAGACACGCGUGGUCCCGCCCACCGACACCCUAAGGGAGAUGGGCGGGGUUAAAGGGAGAGGGGGGCGUGGCCUGCCGGGAGGAGGGGGCGGGACUACAGCUCCCAGCGGCCCCCGCGCGGGGCGUCACGUGAUCCCGGUGAGCUGGGGGGAGCCUAUUGAGGGGGCCUAUGGGUUCUAUAGGGUUUGGAGGCGCUGCGGGUGCUAGGAAGGACGUAGGGGAGUGGGGGGCGUAGAAAGCAUGUAGGGAUUAUAGAUUCUAUAGGGGCACGGGGAGGGGGGCUUGGGGGCUAUAGGGAGCGUAGGGGGGGUAUAGAUUCCAUAGGGGAUUUGGGGGUUACAGAGGGGGUAAGGGAGUAUAGAUUCUAUAGGGCGCUUCGGGAGUAUAGGGAUAAUAGGGAAGUAUAGGUUCCAUAGGCAGUUUGGGGGCUGUCGGGAAUACAGGGGAGCACAAACUCUAUAGAAAGUGUAGAGCAUAUAGGUUCUAUACGGUUUCUAGCAAAUAUAGGAGGCAGAGAAGAAUAUAGGUUGUGUAGAGGACUUGGGGAGUAUAGAGAGAGGAAGAAGGUAUAGGUUCUAUACCAAGCAUAGGGAGCGUAGAGACGUAUAGGUUCUAUAAGAAGCAUAGGGAAACAUAGAUUCUAAAGGGAGUUUGGAGUUAUGAGGGGGCAUAGGGAGGUAUAGGUUCUAUAGGAGCUAUACCGACCAUAGGGGGUAUAGGUGCUAUCGAGAAUACAGGGUACUUAGAUUUUGCGGGCACUGUAAGACAUAAAGUUUCCAUAGGGGUCGUCGACUUCCGCCGCGGAGCCGACUUCCGCCCUGCGCCGCCAGGCCCGGAGCCGCCGGGAACCGCGGAGGAGGACGAGGAGGCGGCGGUGAAGCCGGGACCGGAGCCGAGAAGGCGGCGCGGAACGGUCGGAAAGAGGCGGCGGCGGAGGCUGAGGCCUGCGGGCCUCGCGGGGCCUGUAGAGCUGUCUAGGCCUUGCUGUGGGGGGGCGGGCGGUGUGCUGGGCCCUAUAGCGCUAUAGGGGGAGAGGGAACCCUCCGUUGGAUCCCGGGGACCUAUAGAGCGUUCGUGGGGGAGCGUUCGGGGAGUGUGGGACCGUAGAGGUGCAAUAGGCGCUGAAAGGGGGGAAUUGGGGCCCUAGGGAUUCUAUAGGGGGCUCCGUGGGGCAACAGGGACCCUAUAGAUGCUUUGCGGCGCCCCAUAGGUCGCUCAGGGCUCUGUAGAGUUUGCAGAGAAUCCUAUAGGUCCUUUACAUAGAUUUCCAGAGCCCUAUAGACCCUUCGGUGGUGGUGGUGGUGGGGGUGAGCUCCCAGGGCCUUAUAGAUUCUCUGUGGGGGAUUCACGGGGCCCUAUAGAUUCUUUAAGGGGUGCCCCAGAGCCCUGUAGACGCUUUGGAGGGGGGGGUUGAGGGCCCCAUAGGCGCUUCAGAGGGCCCUAUAGACUCUUUUGGAGCCCUUAUAGAUCCUUCAGGAGGGGGUCUCAGGGCCUUAUAGACCCUUGGGGGGGGAUUCACAGAGUCCUAUAGGUGCUUUAGAGGGCCCUAUAGGCGCUUCAGGGGUUUAUCUGGGACCCUAUAGAUCCUUUGGAGCUGUUCCCAGGAUCUUAUAGAUCUUUUGGAGGGGAUUUGCGGGCCCUAUAGAUGCUUUAAAGGACCCUAUAGGCGUUUUUGGAGCUCCUAUAGAUCCUUUAGCUGAGCUCUCCGGGUCGUAUAGAUUCUUUAGGGGUGGUCUUUUCCGGAUCCUUUAUUGGGGGGGGGUUCUCAUUGAUCCCCUAUAGGGUCUGGCCGGGUCCUCCAAGCUCCGCCGCCCCCUCCCUAUAGAACGGCGGGGACCCCCGUCCCCCCUAUGGGGAUCCUAUAGGGCGAAAGGUUCCCUAUAGAUAACGCGCGCCCCGCUGAGGGGUUUU